UUCCAGGCUCUGCCCAUGUUAUACUAUGUAGAAAAACCAAUUGUUUUUAGCAGAACAGGAAAAUAAGACUGAGAUAACACAUAAUAUUAAUAAAUAUUGGAUGCAGCAACACAGAUCCUUUGAUCCUGAAGAGAUUUCAGACAUUAUCACUUGUACAUUUAUGAGGUAAGAUGGGAGAUGGAGAAAUCAUAGACUGCAAAACAUUGGUACAGAACAAAUACAGUGUGUUCAGCUUACGUUAUAACAGCCUAAUCAUUCUCAUCCUGAUUCAUAUGCUUUCUUAAUUUGCAGUAUGUAUUGAAAGUGACAGCCAGCCACCAAAAGGAAAUAAUUUUCGUAUAGCACAGGUGUGUCAACCUCUAUAGGAACUUGAAUCUAUACUGACUUUUUCACUACUUACUACAUUCUUCAUUAUAUUUAGCUUCAUUAUGAUCAUUCUAAUCACAAUAAAAACAAUUAAUAGUUGACUUUAUAGUAUAUGUGCAAAAUACUCAGGAGAAAGCAGUGCAACAUAACAAACACACAACAUAGAAACAUAGUAUUUACAAUUCAUAAUCAGAGGGAAACAAUGCAUAAUUUAGUAUUUAUACUUUAUUAUUAGAAGGAUGAGAUCACUAGAUUUUUUUCCACAUCACAGACUCCUUACUUCGGGAAAAUAGAUGCUAUAUAUGAUCUCAAUUAAAUGCAAAUUUUUAAGCAACACUGAAGCCAACCUUUUCCCAUUCCCAAAGGAAGAGCUUAACUUUGUUUACUUGCUCUUUAAUUGUCAGCAAACAUUGAAAAACAGCUUCUUUGUCAAUAGAUUUCUUUUCAAAAAGUCAUCUUCAAAACAUAUUACGUAUAACUAUUUCUCACUGUAUCCUUCUAAUGAAACUGCCCCACAUUUAGCUAGAUUAAACUAUAAUGCAACAGGAGAACAAUCGGCUGACAGGUCAGGCUCGAAGUGUUAGAGUAAGUGAGAUUACAUCAGAUGGUAGCCAGUCACUGGCGAGGUUCUGCACAUCUCCUUUUUAGGGACAGUUCUCUUUAACGUUGUAUAAUCAAUGAAUAUGCAGAUGUCAUAAUUAAGAAAUAUACAGGAAAGUUAGGCUAAGUAAGAUAAAUUGCAACAGGAAGAUAAUAAAUGGAAAUACUUACCAAUGUUGCAGGCUCACAAUAUGCUCCACAAGGUCCAAUCUCAGGAAGAGAUCCUUCCUCAAUGGCGGUCAGCACUUAAAUGGUAUGUAGGAGAGGUGCAGCCAGACUCCACCCCUUCCGGUAGCACAGCUGAAUUGUCUUCACCUGUAUUCCCAUGGCUGACGCAUUGCUUGCCUCAGGUUGUCAAUCAGAGGCUCAGGCCGUGAUUCAGCAGUUCCCAUACAAACGUUUUCAUAAAUAGCUUGGAAGUUACACUAAGUGUCACAUUCUGUAAGUUUGCAGACAACACAAAAUUCGGAGGAGCAUCCCACUCUACCUUACCUUGAUAACUGUGAGCAGGUUUGGUCACCACAGUGUAAGAAGGACAAAUCUAUGAGAGAUUAUCCAAAACGCAGGAGAGUUUACCAGAGAACAAGCGAUGACACAGUAGAUACUGGGCAUCAAGUUUCAUCUAUAAUUCCACUCUAUCAGAUUUUUAAGCUAUGCUUAUCUACACUGGCUUCUGCAAACAUUUUGGUUUAUGUGCUACUAGAAAGAAAUACUUCAAAGGGAAGGAAGAUGACACAAGAUUACUCACAGGAAGAUUGCAGAAAGCAAAUAUAUGUUAUUAUAAUCA